AGCAGCGUGGCUCAGUGGAAAGAGCCCCAGGCUUUGGAGUCUGAGGUCAUGGGUUCAAACCCCGGCUCUGCCA
rnacentral:tRNA from 1 species